ensembl:lncRNA
UUUUUUUUUGAGGCUGAGAGGAACCCACACAGAUUAUGUAAUAUACUUUGUGAUCAAUUAUAAACUUACAGCAUUUCUGAAAUGUUUUUUUUUCUUUAUCUUGAAUCAAGGAUCUGAAUCUGAUUGGAACACCGAGCUUUCCCAACAGCCAUGGUCAUCAUUGCACACCUGCAGUUGAAAUGCUGUUAUAACACACGUUUUACUAAUGUUCUUGCAGCUAUAUAUAUAGUGUUAUUUCUAGACAAACUGUGUAGAGUUUAUGGUUUACAGACUUGGUUGCACUGGUUCUGUUGUUUUGGGGUUUUUCUUCAAAGCUCUCACAAUGAUUCUGCUGUUGUUUUCAUUGACUGAACUGUUUCAUGUCUGGUUGUUACUACGCUUGUGAUUUCUUUCUUUUUCAGGACAUUCCAAAUUGUCGUAUUGACUUUUUUCCCUAUUUUUAGGAACUAAGUUUUACGAUGAGGUAUUGAUGUUUGUGGACUAAACUUCUGUUACAGUAGUGGCACAAAUAUCAUUUUGUUCAGCCAAGAGUCGUGUGCAACUAGCAGUUUGGUGACCCGUAGGAUUAAGUGAAGUGAAGCUAAGCUAGGCUAUCUGCGUUUGUUGUUUUUUCACUAGCUUGAAAAGGACUAAGUAUAAACUGUAACUCGUGGGCGUUUAAGCUAAUGUCGUCGUGAGAGACGGACAGCUGUAACCGCCAGCCGCAGUUUUCACCGUGGAACUGAAGGGACGAGGACUGUGGAGAACUGUGCUGAGUAGCACGGUCACUACGCCUGUGUAAGGAGGGACUCUACCGCCGAACCUGCAUCUCUGAAUCGACUCUUACCUGCUGGACCCUCGCCUGCAGCGGAUUCAUUCACUCACUCAGCUCGUUGUUUCCAGUUCAGCUGAUUUUCCUCUUCGAUAUGUGACACAGAUGUUCAAGACAUUUCUAAAAAAUAUUUGGCCCAAGAAAUUGAACUGAGGAAAGCAGACCAGACUGAAAAUGAGAAAACUGGAGAUGGAAAUUAAGCAAAUGGAGAAAGAAAGAAGCUGAAUAAGAUGACCCGGAAAAAAUGUGUUUAACCGUACACUAAAAUUAAAUUGUCCAGAGUCACAUGGCCCUCCCUACUCCACCUUCAAUUAAGCUCUUAUUGUAUCUUCUCACUGGUCUACCUACAAUCUUAGCAUACCUUCCUGAUGUAGUACAUUCACAUUGUGCAAAACUCCCUCCACAAGCCACUACAAUAUCAAGUCCAUUGUGGAAUGAUUCAGAGAUGGUUUAGACAUAAAUCUGGACUUUAGCUGUCCAAACGUAAUUGACAUACACUUUUGAAGUAGUAGAAAAGGACUUUAUAAGGAAUUCGAAUAAUACAUAGUUGGGCUGCAACAGUAACUACAGUACAUCAUUUACUGCUCUAAAUAUCAGUAUCUGAAUGGGAUUCUGGCACCUUCAGUAACUUGGAGAGGGUAAAAAUUUGUGUUUUCUGCUUGUACUGAGGUGUUAUAGAAACACCAAUAGUGUUUCAUUGAUUCAUGGACGUAUCAGAUUUGUGUAUAUUUGGGGCAAUGGUGGCAAAAUCUUGUUCCAGCUUGGAUAAACUCUGCAAGACCUCAGGAUUCAGUGGAGCUGUGUUUCAUUUCUGGUAUGUUUCUACGAACAGCUUUCCAGCUUCACCUUCUCGUCUCCUGUUAAACAAUAUUAUUUGCGCUAGAACACUUUCUGAAAGAUUUCUCCAUGCCACAGGAUCUGAGCUCUUGGUUAAUUGUUCUUUUGACUGAUCUUCCAAAAUUUUGAGGUGUUUGUGCAACCUGACAUCAUCUUCAGUCGGUGGAAGAACAUCAGCUUUGUUCCAUUUGUUUUGUUCAAGGUUGGUACUAGCUCGUUUUGAAACAAAUGUGUUCCAGUCAGAGUGAAGCAACCUGAUGAAAUUCUUGGCCUUCUGUCCUGCCUCACGGUCUUCCUUGAUCAGACUCUCGCCUAUCACAAUUUCACAGACUUUCUUGAGGGUGUCCCCAAUUUUACAAGCUAAAGAUGGGGUGUCUCAUCUGUUUUUUAUGGAUCAAACCCACUUGCUUCCAUUGCUGCCGAUACUGCUAGCUGAAAUCUUGUUGGCACACAAAACAUCCACUAGACGUUGUACAGCAGGGUUAAGCUUCUUUACUGCCAGCAUAAACCUCCCCAACUCCCGCAUUUUCUGACUGAUGUAAUUGUGCUGCGAUUUGUCCUGUCCAUGGAGCUCAAACAUCAUUUCUUCAUAUUUAUAGAUGAGAGUGUCUGACUUCACCUGAUUAGAGAGGUCAUCUUGAUGCAUGCUCAGAAUGAUGCAUUUACACCCUUCAGACACGGCAGGUUUACAUGGUGUACUUCGAGGUGCUACAGCUUGGACUCUCUUCGGUUUCCUUGAAAUGUUGUCUUUUUCAAAAAUGCAGAAAAGACUAGGUUAUGCUUUUCACAAUUCCUUUCUUUUAAAAAACCCAUCGCAAUACUAUCAUAGCAGAUAGUCUUGAUUUCGGUACUAUAGUGGAAAUUCCCUUUAUUUCGUAGUUGUCCAAGUAAUCUGUCAUGCCUUUGUCCCCUUAGUUUUUGAUAAUGCUUGUUCUACUUCAGUUUCUUUUGCAUAUUUUCUCUCGAGAUGUCUUCCCAGUUUGCUUUUCUCUGUACCACAGUAUACAAAAAAGUUUUUCUUAUCUCACUCUCUCUUCCCUCCUUCUUUUUUUGUGCACUUUUUAACAUUCACUUUUACAUUGUCUGACCUACCAUCUUCAUUUAUGGACUUUUGGGCUUUUUCUUAGUCUUUUGCUUCACAAGUGCUGUCAGAGUCCAUAUAGAUGGCAUCAGAGUCAGAACUUCCACUGGAUGAAACAUAUUCACUACCACUUGUGUGUCCUGAUGACAGAUCAGUGCUCCCAAUUUCAACAAUUUCUUCAAUCCUUAAUUCCUGUAAAAUCAAAAGUUUGAAUAUAAUAAACAUAAUUACAAAUACAGAAUUAUGUU